rnacentral:lncRNA from 1 species
UUUUUUUUUUUUGGCCUCUUUGCAGAAGUUCCCAGGCCACGGAUUGAACCCAAGCUAUAGCAGUGACAAUGCCAGAUCCUUAAACUGCUGAGCCACCGCCUUUGGGAAAGGCACUGGGUUUGGUUUUGAGCUGAGCCCCCAGCAGUAGCUUAGCUAACCUGGUCACCUCUCAGUAAGAGUGUAGGGUAUGGAUGGGCACAGCAUCACAGGGGCAGGCUGGCUCUUGUAUCAAAGUAAACACGCCUUUCCUUGAGAAAUCCAAGGUAGACAAAACUAGGAGUUCCCAGCUUUUGACGUUGCUGGCCUCCUCCUCUUACGUCCCUCUGAUGAAUGGAUUCCCCAUGAUUUAAACCUGCUGAGGUUGCAAGAUUGUGGCAUUCAAACCUUCCUGUGAUGCCCAUCUGUUUCCUAAUGGGACAGGAAAAAAAAGCAGCCUCUCUGUUUCCUAAAGAAAGGAGUUCCCUGGUGGUUCAGUGGGUUAAUGAUCUGGCAUCAUCACUGCUGUGGCGCAGGUUCAAUCCCUGGCCCAGGAACGUUUGCAUGCCUCGGGUGCAGCCAACAAAAAAGAAAAGAAAGAAAAAUGCUAAGAAGAAAGGGCUUAUCGAAAGGACUCAUGAGCUCUCAGGAUGGCUGCAUAUCUUUCCCAGAGUAUCAUUUGGAGAGCCGAGUCCUCCGGAAUGGGAAGCAUCUGGUCUCCAUCUUCUCUCCCAGCCACAAGGGUAGGAAGAAAAAAUGAAAAGAAAGAGGAGCUCGGAGAAAUAUGUUUCAGUUUUUGCAGCUCCUCAAAGGCUUGAAAGCGGUUCAAGAUGUUCCCCCUCAGACCCUCCAGCCACCAUGCAUUUUCUUUGCCCGAUGACUAAACGUUUCAAGACCACCCAUGGAGACAUUUGCUAGUGGUGAAAUCGUGACUUCAAAGGCUCUGUUCUUGCUGAGGGCACCUUCUGUUUUCCCUGGUACCUGCUCUCUGGAGAUUCCCCACACAGACAAGCAGGCAUCCUUGGGGCUUCUGGCCAAUAAUCGGGCCAGAGAACACAGCGGUCCUUGCAGAAUUUCAAAUAUUCUCCCCACGUUCCUUCCCUCCCAAUGAAAAUUCAGUGACAUCAGCCUUCUCUCUCUGCUUCGAGUUUUCAGAAGGUAUCUUCUGGUCCACCUGGACCACCUUUUGGGUUACAUGUAGGAACUCGGGUCCAUGUAGGUGAAGUGACGAACUAGGACCAAGGGAGUCCCCACUGUGGCUCAGCAGGUUAAGAAUACGACUAGUAUCCUUGAGGAUGAGGGUUUCAUCCCUGGCCUUGAUAAGUGGGUUAAGGAUCCAGUGUGGUGUAGGUCUCAGACGAAGCCUGGAUCCGGCGUUGCUGUGGCUGUGGGGUAGGCCAGCAGCUGCAGCUUGGAUUCAGCCCCUAGCCUGGGAACUUCCAUAUGUCGCAGGUGUGGCCCUAAAAAAAAAAGAAGAAAAUAAUAAUGAGAUCGUUAUUACAGAUGUAUCCAUUUCACACUUGAUUCUUCUCUUAGACCAUCAGAUCACUCAGAGCAGGCACUACUGUUGUACAGUUGGGGCAGAGGGAAACCUUAGCACAAAGCAGACACUCAGUAAAUACCUGUCAACCAAUACACAACUCACAUUCAAACCCACCGCAGUGAUGUUCAUUCUUGCAAUUUAACAGAAAUUAUCAUCCUUAUUUUUCAUUUUUUUAUUAAAGUCUAGUUGAUUGACAAUGUUGUGUUAGUUUGAGGUGUACAGCAAAGUGAGCCAGAGUGAGAAUUCAAAGUGAGAAUAUAUAUAUAUUCUCUUUUAAAGUCUUUUCUUUUUUUCUUUUUAUGGCUAUAUCUGAGGCAUAUGGAAGUUCCCAGCCUAGGAGUCAAAACGGAGCUGCAGUUGCAGGCCUAAGCCAUGACCACAGCAACGCAGGAUCCAAGCCGCAUCUGCGACCUACGCCUCAACUCAAGGCAACGCCAGAUCCUUAACCCACUGAGCAAGGCCAGGGAUCGAAUUCAACUGCUCACAGUGACAACAUCAGGUCCUUAACCCAUUAAGCCACAAUGGGGACUUCUAGAUUCUUCUCCAUUUAGGUUAUUAUAGGAUAUUGAAUACAGUUCCCUGUCCAUUAUAUGGUAGGUCCUUGUUGCUUAUCUGUUUUAUAUACAGUAGUGUGUAUCUGUGAAUUCCUAGCUCCUAAUUUACACCUGCCCUUUUGGUAACUGUAAGUUUGAUUUCCAAUGUCACAGAAAUUAUUAAAAAAUUAAGACAUCCUUCAUCCCAAGUCCUUUUGGGUUCUAAAUUGGCAUUUUCCCUUCCCUGCUCUAAAACGUCACUCUCAUUAGCAUGCUUC